UAGGAUGUGAGAAGGCUCAAGACACCC
rnacentral:piRNA from 2 species